UACGUAGGUGGCAAGUGUUAUCCGGAUUUAUUGGGCGUAAAGGGAACGCAGGCGGUCUUUUAAGUCUGAUGUGAAAGCCUUCGGCUUAACCGGAGUAGCGCAUUGGAAACUGGGAGACUUGAGUGCAGAAGAGGAGAGUGGAACUCCAUGUGUAGCGGUGAAAUGCGUAGAUAUAUGGAAGAACACCAGUGGCGAAAGCGGCUCUCUGGUCUGUAACUGACGCUGAGGUUCGAAAGCGUGGGUAGCAAACAGG
rnacentral:rRNA from 1 species